UUUCAUCAUGCUACUGAAAAACAGUGUGCAGCUUAAAACUUACAAAUUGUUUAUUUCUCUGCAGGUCUCGGUCUGCGUGCAGCUUUC
rnacentral:lncRNA from 1 species